GAUGAACGCUGGCGGCGUGCUUAAUACAUGCAAGUCGAGCGAACAGACGCGGAUCUUGCUCCUCUGACGUUAGCGGCGGACGGGUGAGUAACACGUGGAUAACCUACCUAAAAUAUUGGUAUAACUUCGGAAAACCGGAUCUAAUACCGGAUAAGAUAUUUAACCGCAUGGUGGAAUAGUGAAUGACGGUUUUGCUGUCACGUAUAGAUGGAUCCGCGCCGCAGUAGGUAGUUGGUAAGUAAACGGCCUACCAAGGGGACGAGGCGUAGACGAACUGAGAGGGGGAUCGGCCACCUUGGAAGUGAGACGGCGUCCAGACGACUACGGGACGCAGCAGUAGGGAAUCUUCCGCAAUAGGCGAAAGCUUGACGGAGCAGCGCCGCGUGAGGUAUGACGGUCUUCGGAUCGUAAAACUCUCUUAUUAGGUGAGAACAAAUGUCUAAGUAACUAUGCACGUCUUGACGGUACCUAAUCAGAAAGCCACGGCUAACUACGUG
rnacentral:rRNA from 1 species